ensembl:lncRNA
UUUUAAAUGUUCUUUUGCUCAUUUACAAUCAUGAAAAAGUAGCACUUGAGAUUAUUACUUCCUGUUUUGAACUACAUUCCACAUUUAGUGCAACAAGUCUUGAUUAACAGGUUUUUUUUUUACCCUUUUCUUCCUGCCAGCCAGAAAGUGACGUGAUUGAGGAUGCCCUUAAAAAUGUAAACGGUUAGGAGAUAUUGAAAACUCUCCAGAGAAAGCAAGACUGUCACAGCAAGAGAAAGUUAAAUGUUUGAUUUGAUUUCUUCCUUUUUAAAACCAUGCCAGCUUCUAUGGCUAUAUUCAUGGCAAGAGCUAGUGUAGAUAUUCAAGAUUAAAACUAGACUAGGUGUUUAAGAUUAAUUUUUCCUAAAAACCUUGAAACUAAGUUUGGAUUUACUUGGUUAAAAACCUUUUCAAAAUUGUCAACAGAGUAAUACAGGUUCCUCAAGUGUGUAGAAGCAUUACAGUCCAGUAAGACAUGUUUAAUGGAUAAUGGGUUCUGACAGGAUGGGCACUUUGGUGAAUUUCCUCCAGAUACUAAAAAAUGGUGUGUGAGCCUUGUGUGUCCUAUCCGGCAUUGAGUGUAAGUGACUAAAGUUAAAGUUUAAUUAAACAGUUUAAUUAAACAAUUGCUAAAUAUAUGGCAACACUUGAAUAAAAUGGGGGAAACCUAGAAGAAUAAGACAGUCAUUAAAACUUGUACCACAAAUCGAGCUGGCACUGUUAACUAAACAUUAGGGUUUCCCUUCUACACACAGACACAAAUAAUUGAUUAAGGUUCAGCCUGGUUUACUCUUCAGCUUGUUUGUUUCACUGUGGAGUCACAUUCCAGUCAGGAGAUACCUGAUUCGUGUAGGCAGUGGGAAAAAGUCCAAGCUGCACCUGACUGCGACUCAACCAUCUGCUCGAAAUAGAUGAAGACAAGUUACUAAAGAAGGCCUGCAGCACUGGUUUAUAAUGCUGAUGAUUAACUAAAUAGAGGCUGCAGUCUGGGAGAGCAGGUCUGCUUGGGGUUUUCAUUUCAUGGGUCCUGACUGUGCGAGAGGAAGCCGGAGCCAUCUCAGGCGCUUAGUAGAAAUUUGAGAUUUUUUUUUCUUUCUGUCCCCCAUACUCCCUUUUUUGUCACAUUCUUUACCUGAGUCCCUUUCACGACGGUAAGGUUACAGGUUCUCUCCCUCUCUCCCUCUCUUUCUCUUCUCUCCCUCGUGUGCAUGCUUUUUUUUUUCCCUUCUAUUCACCUCUUUUAGCUUUUACAUGUACUCUCCCGCCUCAUUUCAAUUCUGCC